rnacentral:lncRNA from 1 species
GAUGCUAAUGCUAGAAUUUCUUCGAUCCUGCGUGAUCUUUAGUGGAGGCACACUAGAUUGUCUUAAUUUUGAUGUUAGACCGGUCCAUUAUUAUAAUGGCCAUUUGUGGCUAGUUUUUAUUGGGCCUUUGUGGCUAGUAGCUUUUUUGAUUGAAUUAUGAAUGCAAUUCUAGAAUUUCUCCACAAAAAAGAAAAAGAAAAAAAUAAAGAAGACACUGCAUGAGAUACCAUAAAAGCAACACGUAAAAUGUGCCAAUGGAGUCUAGCUCAGAGGAAAAUAGUAUUAGCUUGCAAAUCAUUGGUCUCAAAUUCGAACAUUGAUGACAAAAAAA